GAUGAACGCUGGCGGCGUGCUUAACACAUGCAAGUCGAACGGAGUGCCUAUGAAGGAGUUUUCGGACAACGGAAUAGGUUACUUAGUGGCGGACGGGUGAGUAACGCGUGAGGAACCUGCCUUGGAGAGGGGAAUAACACAUCGAAAGAUGUGCUAAUACCGCAUAAUGCAUAUGAAUCGCAUGAUUUAUAUGCCAAAGAUUUAUCGCUCUGAGAUGGCCUCGCGUCUGAUUAGCUAGUAGGUGGGGUAAAGGCCUACCUAGGCGACGAUCAGUAGCCGGACUGAGAGGUUGACCGGCCACAUUGGGACUGAGACACGGCCCAGACUCCUACGGGAGGCAGCAGUGGGGAAUAUUGGGCAAUGGGCGCAAGCCUGACCCAGCAACGCCGCGUGAAGGAAGAAGGCCCUCGGGUUGUAAACUUCUUUUAUUUAGGACGAAGAAAGUGACGGUACUAAAUGAAUAAGCCACGGCUAACUACGUG
rnacentral:rRNA from 1 species